UCGAAGUAUCCCUCUUUCUUGUCUAAGC
rnacentral:sRNA from 1 species